GCGGGAGGCCCAGCAACAGCGAGGAGCGUUGUCGGUAACCAAAGGGGCUCUGGUGAAUUUCAGUCUGAAAAGUCAAACUGGAGCUCCGGCUUAGGGCAGGGACUUCCAUUCCAGGGGACCCGGGCACCGACCAGAAUGAAGUCCUGCUGCGCCGGCCAGAGGCGAAAGUGGGGUGUGGAAUGCAAUCUGGAAGAAUUUGGCUGGACUCGGGGCCUUGCAACCCCAGCUUUGGACUUGGGGCCCGAGCCGAGCGCAUCCCUGAGUGAAUUAAUCCUCUUAUGACUAAAAGGUAACGUGGAAGGACGUCCUUUUGAUGUUGAAAAGCACCAUUUGUGACUCACAUUCAGACUGAUUAAGGAAUAAUUGUUACUAA